AGGACGAACGCUGGCGGCGUGCUUAACACAUGCAAGUCACGGGGGUCCCGCAAGGGAUAACCGGCGAACGGGUGCGUAACACGUGAACAACCUGCCCUCGUGUGGGGGAUAGCCGGGCUAACGCCCGGGUAAUACCGCAUACGUUCUCUUUGGGGAGUCCCGAGGAGAGGAAAGCUCCGGCGCACGGGGAGGGGUUCGCCCGGCCUAUCAGCUAGUUGGCGGGGUAAUGGCCCACCAAGGCGACGACGGGUAGCUGGU
rnacentral:rRNA from 1 species